UUUUGACCACUUUUAUGGAUCAUAAUUAUGUUAGGCAUGUGUUUUAACUCUGUUUUCAAUGGUUUUUAAAGGGUUUUCAAUGUUUUAGAGUUUCAAAAGACUUUACAGGAAACUUGGGCAAAAGAUAUGCAAUUUGGAACAAAUGAGCAAUAUUGGAUAAAUGCAGACCAUCAGAAGUAUGACAAGCGAUGAAGACCUUCUCACCGUCUGAUAACCCCCAAAAUUUGAGACAACAUAGAGGAUCCAACCAGGUUUCUAAUGCACUUGGUUUGGAGACAAUCCAACGGUUAGAUCUUCAGAUACUCCCGAUGCAAAAAUGACAGAAAAUGCAGU
rnacentral:lncRNA from 1 species